rnacentral:lncRNA from 1 species
GAAUAUCUAAAGCUCCCCCUCAAAAGAUGCAUUCUUCUUUAAUCAUUCUUUUCUAUUGUUGAAUUUCAGAUUUUAGUGAUAAACGUGAAUAAAACUGAAAUUCUAUGAUAUCGAGAAUGUAGAGUAAUCUAGUAUUAUUCAAAAUUUGUAGCAAUUACUCUUUCUAAUCCUUCAAGACAAAGUUAUGGUUUCUCUUAAUCUU